rnacentral:rRNA from 1 species
CUUUGUUGACUUAGUGGCGGACGGGGGAGUAACGCGUGGGUAACCUGCCUCACACAGGGGGAUAACAGUUGGAAACGACCGCUAAUACCGCAUAACCCGCUAGGGCCGCAUGGCCCGGACGGAAAAGAUUUAUCGGUGUGAGAUGGACCCGCGUUGGAUUAGCUAGUUGGCAGGGUAACGGCCUACCAAGGCGACGAUCCAUAGCCGGCCUGAGAGGGUGAAGGCCACAUUGGGACUGAGACACGGCCCAA